UUUCAUUUUCGGUGCAGUUCGCUGGUGGUCAGUCGGGCCAGUCCCGGAGACAAAAAUUAGUACUUUUUCUGCUUUUUCUCGGUGAGGUGAGUUUUAUACAAUUUUUUUCUGAAGCUGGUAGCUUGUCUCGUGGAACUUUUAUGCGAAUGAUUGUUUGAGAAGCAUGUUUUUUUCCUUCUAUCUCCCGCGGUGUCCAACAACUUUUGUGUACAGCACGCAAAUAGAUGAGAGCCACUAAACGAUUACCGCACGACCGAGCUGGUCGUUGUUGCCGAGACACCGAACGAAUGUGAACGAACGGAGCGGGUCCCCUUUUUGGGCGGGGGGUUGGUAAAACACGAAUGCAGGAGAGAGAGAGGUAAAAGAAGCGCACCAACCGACACCAGGGGCCGAUCCAGAUGAACGCUGGAACAACUCAAUGUUUACAGGAGGAACGUGAUAGGAUUAGAUAUGGAAGCGGUAUUUUUUCGCGCAAAAAUUUGCGCGCUUGCCAAAGCCAUGAACUGACCACCGGAGCGAUGAUGAAGCAAACACUGGGUCAAUUAAUCUCCCUAGUGGAAUACAUGGUAGCUUUGCUUUCGACUAUAUUUAUUACACUGCAACUAACGUUUGCUCUAUAAUAGUUAUUUGAAAUGUAAAAGGUAACACUAAUAAUCCUAAUAAAUAUUUUUUUUCAAG